rnacentral:rRNA from 1 species
GACGAACGCUGGCGGCGUGCUUAACACAUGCAAGUCGAACGGAAAGGCCCUGCUUUUGUGGGGUGCUCGAGUGGCGAACGGGUGAGUAACACGUGAGUAACCUGCCCUUUACUUUGGGAUAACUUCAGGAAACUGGGGCGAAUACCGGAUAGGAGCUCCUUCUGCAUGGUGGUGGUUGGAAAGUUUCGGCGGUUGGGGAUGGACUCGAGGCUUAUCAGCUUGUUGGUGGGGUAGUGGCUUACCAAGGCUUUGACGGGUAGCCGGCCUGAGAGGGUGACCGGCCACAUUGGGACUGGGAUACGGCCCAUACUCCUACGGGAGGCAGAAGUGGGGAAUAUUGCACAAUGGGCGGAAGCCGGAUGCAGCAACGCCGCGUGCGGGAUGACGGCCUUCGGGUUGUAACCCGCUUUCGCCUGUGACGAAGCGUGAGUGACGGUAAUGGGUAAAGAAGCACCGGCUAACUACGUG